UCGAGCGGCGGACGGGUGAGUAAUACUUAGGAAUCUACCUAGUAGUGGGGGAUAGCUCGGGGAAACUCGAAUUAAUACCGCAUACGACCUACGGGAGAAAGGGGGCAGUUUACUGCUCUCGCUAUUAGAUGAGCCUAAGUCGGAUUAGCUAGAUGGUGGGGUAAAGGCCUACCAUGGCGACGAUCUGUAGCUGGUCUGAGAGGAUGAUCAGCCACACCGGGACUGAGACACGGCCCGGACUCCUACGGGAGGCAGCAGUGGGGAAUAUUGGACAAUGGGGGAAACCCUGAUCCAGCCAUGCCGCGUGUGUGAAGAAGGCCUUUUGGUUGUAAAGCACUUUAAGCAGUGAAGAAGACUCCUCGGCUAAUACCCGUGGACGAUGACAUUAGCUGCAGAAUAAGCACCGGCUAACUCUGUGCCAGCAGCCGCGGUAAUACAGAGGGUGCAAGCGUUAAUCGGAAUUACUGGGCGUAAAGCGAGCGUAGGUGGCUUGAUAAGUCAGAUGUGAAAUCCCCGGGCUUAACCUGGGAACUGCAUCUGAAACUGUUAGGCUAGAGUAGGUGAGAGGAAGGUAGAAUUCCAGGUGUAGCGGUGAAAUGCGUAGAGAUCUGGAGGAAUACCGAUGGCGAAGGCAGCCUUCUGGCAUCAUACUGACACUGAGGCUCGAAAGCGUGGGUAGCAAACAGGAUUA
rnacentral:rRNA from 1 species